rnacentral:rRNA from 1 species
AGAGUUUGAUCAUGGCUCAGAAUCAACGCUGGCGGCGUGCCUAACACAUGCAAGUCGAGCGAGAAAGUGUAGCAAUACAUGAGUACAGCGGCGCACGGGUGAGUAACACGUGGGUAAUCUGCCCUCGAGUGGGGAAUAACACCGGGAAACCGGUGCUAAUACCGCAUACGAUCACGAUUUCUUCGGAUUUUGUGAUGAAAGGAGCAAUUCGCUCUUGGAGGAGCCCGCGGCUGAUUAGCUAGUUGGUGAGGUAAUGGCUCACCAAGGCAACGAUCAGUAGCCGGUCUGAGAGGACGGUCGGCCACACUGGAACUGAGACACGGUCCAGACUCCUACGGGAGGCAGCAGUGGGGAAUUUUUCGCAAUGGGGGCAACCCUGACGAAGCAACGCCGCGUGGAUGAUGAAGUAUCUCGGUACGUAAAAUCCUUUCGGCGGGGAAGAAAACCGCAAGGUUUGACGGUACCCGUAGAAGAAGCCCCGGCUAACUCCGUGCCAGCAGCCGCGGUAAUACGGGGGGGGCAAGCGUUGUUCGGAAUUACUGGGCGUAAAGGGCGCGUAGGCGGUUCGCUAAGUUGAAUGUGAAAACUCUGGGCUUAACCCAGAGCCUGCAUUCAAUACUGGCGGGCUAGAGUUCUGGAGGGGAUAGCGGAAUUCCUGGUGUAGCGGUGAAAUGCGUAGAUAUCAGGAGGAACACCGGUGGCGAAGGCGGCUAUCUGGACAGAGUCUGACGCUGAGGCGCGAAAGCUAGGGGAGCAAACAGGAUUAGAUACCCUAGUAGUCC